rnacentral:rRNA from 1 species
AAUCUUCCGCAAUGGACGAAAGUCUGACGGAGCAACGCCGCGUGGGUGAUGAAGGUCUUCGGAUCGUAAAACUCUGUUGUCAGGGAAGAACAAGUAUCGUUCGAAUAGGGGGGUACCUUGACGGUACCUAACCAGAAAGCCACGGCGAACGACGUGUCUGCAGACGAGGUAAUACGUAGGUGGCAUGCCUUAUCCGGAAUUAUUGGGCGUAAAGCGCGCGCAGGCGGUUUCUUAAGUCUUAUGUGAAAUCCCACGGCUCAACCGUGGAGGGUCAUUGGAAACUGGGAAGCUUGAGUUCAGAAGAGGAGAGUGGAAUUCCAUGUGUAGCGGUGAAAUGCGUAGAGAUAUGGAGGAACACCAGUGGCGAAGGCGACUCUCUGGUCUGCAACUGACGCUGAGGCGCGAAAGCGUGGGGAGCGAACA